CGCGCCCCUCCUCGGCUUCGCUCACCCCGCCCGGGAGGCCCCGGCAGGCGGGGGAGGGGUGGCCUCUGCGACUGCUCGACCCCCUCUCCCCUCUUCGCGGCCUGAUGAGUGGAUUGCGCUCCCUUGGGAAAAGUAAUUGGAUUCCCGACUCCCUGCAGCCGGGAUCAGCGGAAAUCGGAGGCUGAGCCUGCAGGCCGCGAUAGAAAGCUGGGUGGUAAAGAAGGAUCAACGGAGAUUACCCCGGUAUCCUUUUCCACCUGGCAUGUGACUUUUGCCCCUCCAUGGUGUCAGCAUUCUGAAAUUCACCUGGUUGCUGAUCUCCGGGAAGAGAAGUAAUUUGGAACGUUUGAGCCUUUGAGCCACCACCACCUCGUUUUUCUCUCAGAGCUCUACUUGGAGCUCAGGCGGAGAAAGAACAUCGCCAAAUCUGGGAUUGGAGAUACUUCUUGUUAACGGGGUAACUCGGGAGAAUAUGCCAUUCUCACCAGAAUCAUCCAGGAAAGAAUCUUAGGUCCUUGUCUUAGCGGUAGUGAACUUCCCUAAAUUCUCUCCUUAGGAGAGAUGAUGCCGAAGAGGGAGCCUUAAGCAGAGUUUUUGGCUAAAAUGAUAGGAAAGUGCUAGGAAUUUAAGUGACUAAUUCAUCCUCCUUGUGAUUUUUUUUUCCCAUCUAAUUUACUGUAUUUCACUCAUUCAUUCAUCAAACACGCUUUUAUUGGGGGCUUUCCAUGUGCCAUGCUCUGUUGUACUUACCAGGGGUACAGCAGUGAAUAAAACAAGUCCUGAACUCA